rnacentral:lncRNA from 1 species
UCUCCCUCCCUUUGUGGUGGUGUGUGUGCUAUUCCAAGGGCUUGAGAUCAAAUCUUAAGUAUUUUUCUCUUUCCUCUCUGAAGAAGACGUUCAUCCCUCUCUUCUACAAAGUUUGGGGUGCAUGCGAAGUAGAAGAUCCGCACAUCCGAUUCUCGUGAAGCAUAUUGAUCGAGGAGUUUCUUCAACUUUGUUCUUUUCCACUACAAAUUAAGAUAAGAAUUUAUAAACAUUAUGAAAAUUUUAAUUGCUAAUCUAUUCUAUUUUUCUGGCAGUCAAUGUGAUCAGAUGAAUUUUUUUUUAUAAGGUACUGUCGGGU